rnacentral:rRNA from 1 species
CUACGGGUGGCAGCAGUGAGGAAUAUUGCGCAAUGGACGAAAGUCUGACGCAGCCAUGCCGCGUGCAGGAUGACGGCGCUAUGCGUUGUAAACUGCUUUUAUAGGCCAAGAAACCUUCGGACGUGUCCGAAGCUGACGGUAGCAUAUGAAUAAGCACCGGCUAACUCCGUGCCAGGCAGCCGCGGUAAUACGGAGGGUGCGAGCGUUAUCCGGAUUUAUUGGGUUUAAAGGGUCCGUAGGCGGAUCAUUAAGUCAGUGGUGAAAGCCGGCAGCUCAACUGUCGAACUGCCAUUGAUACUGGUGAUCUUGAAUACGGUUGAAGUUGGCGGAAUAGGUCAUGUAGCGGUGAAAUGCUUAGAUAUGACCUAGAACACCGAUUGCGAAGGCAGCCAACUAAGCCGUUAUUGACGCUGAGGGACGAAAGCGUGGGGAGCGAACAGGAUUAGAUACCCGCGUAGUC